rnacentral:rRNA from 1 species
CCUACGGGUGGCAGCAGUGGGGAAUAUUGGACAAUGGGGGAAACCCUGAUGCAGCGAAGCCGCGUGAGUGAAGAAGGAUCUCGGGAUGUAAAGCCCUAUUAGCAGGGAAGAAAAGGACGGUACCUGUUGAAGAAGCCCCGGCUAACUACGUGCCAGCAGCCGCGGUAAUACGUAGGGGGCAAGCGUUAUCCGGAUUUACUGGGGUUAAAGGGAGCCUAGGCGGCAGGACAAGUCUGGAGGGAAAUGCGGGGGCUUAACCCCGGAACUGCGUUGGAAACUGUGCAGCUUGAGUGCACGAGAGGUAAGUGGAAUGCGUGGUGUAGCGGUGAAAUGCAUAGAUAUUAGGAGGAACACCAGUGGCGAAGGCGGCUUACUGGAGUGUAACUGACGUUGAGGCUCGAAAGCGUGGGGAGCGAACAGGAUUAGAUACCCCGGUAGUC